CGGGGGGUGCGAGCGUUGUCCCGGAAUCACUGGGCGUAAAGGGCGCGUAGGUGGUUUGAUAAGGGUGUGGUGAAAGUCCGGGGCUCAACCCCGGAUCUGCCGUGCCGACUGUCAAACUCGAGGGCUGUAGAGGCAGACGGAAUUCCGGGUGUAGCGGUGGAAUGCGUAGAGAUCCGGAGGAAGACCGGUGGCGAAGGCGGUCUGCUGGGCAGUUUCUGACACUGAUGCGCGACAGCGUGGGGAGCAAACAGGAUUAGAUACCCUGGUAGUCCACGCCCUAAACGAUGUCAACUAGGUGUUGGGUGGGUAAAACCAUUUAGUACCGGAGCUAACGCGUGAAGUUGACCGCCUGGGGAGUACGGCCGCAAGGUUA
rnacentral:rRNA from 1 species